rnacentral:rRNA from 1 species
CGAACGGGUGAGUAACACGUGAGGAACCUGCCCCGAAGACCGGGAUAACAGCGGGAAACCGCUGCUAAUACUGGAUGUCCCCACCGGACCGCAUGAUCUGGUGAGGAAAUGGAUUCCGCUUCGGGAGGGCCUCGCGGCCUAUCAGCUUGUUGGUGGGGUAACGGCCUACCAAGGCAACGACGGGUAGCUGGUCUGAGAGGACGAUCAGCCACACUGGGACUGAGACACGGCCCAG